UACGUAGGGGGCAAGCGUUGUCCGGAAUUAUUGGGCGUAAAGAGCGCGUAGGCGGUCCGAUAAGUCGGCUGUGAAAGUCAGGGGCUCAACCCUUGGAAGCCGGCCGAUACUGUCGGACUAGAGUCCGGAAGAGGCGAGUGGAAUUCCCGGUGUAGCGGUGAAAUGCGCAGAGUAUCGGGAGGAACACCUGUGGCGAAAGCGGCGCACGUGGACCAUAACUGACGCUGAGGCGCGAAAGCUAGGGGAGCAAACAGG
rnacentral:rRNA from 1 species